UACGGGGGGAGCAAGCGUUGUUCGGAUUUACUGGGCGUAAGGGCGCGUAGGCGGCCAGUGCAAGUCAGUUGUGAAAUCUCCGAGCUUAACUCGGAAAGGUCAACUGAUACUGCUCGGCUAGAGUGCGGAAGGGGCAACUGGAAUUCUUGGUGUAGCGGUGAAAUGCGUAGAUAUCAAGAGGAACACCUGCGGCGAAGGCGGGUUGCUGGGCCGACACUGACGCUGAUGCGCGAAAGCUAGGGGAGCGAACGGG
rnacentral:rRNA from 1 species